rnacentral:sRNA from 1 species
GCUGGGCAUGGUGGCGCACUCCUGUAAUUCUAGCAGCUUGGGAGGCUGAGUCAGGAGAAUCCUGAGUUCAAAGCCAGCCUCAGCAACAGUGUGGCUCUUAGCAACUCAGUGAGACCCUAUCUCUA